UGAGGAAUAUUGGUCAAUGGGCGCAAGCCUGAACCAGCCAUCCCGCGUGCAGGAAGACGGCCCUAUGGGUUGUAAACUGCUUUUCCAGGGGGAGAAUUUUUCUGUCGUGACAGGAAUUGACGGUACCCUGGGAAUAAGCAUCGGCUAACUCCGUGCCAGCAGCCGCGGUAAUACGGAGGAUGCGAGCGUUAUCCGGAUUUAUUGGGUUUAAAGGGUGCGUAGGCGGAUAGAUAAGUCAGUGGUGAAAACCUGCAGCUUAACUGUAGACUUGCCGUUGAUACUGUCAGUCUUGAGUAUGGUCAAGGUAGGCGGAAUGUGUAAUGUAGCGGUGAAAUGCUUAGAUAUUACACAGAACACCGAUUGCGAAGGCAGCUUACUAUGCCGUUACUGACGCUGAUGCACGAAAGCGUGGGGAUCAAACA
rnacentral:rRNA from 1 species